ACAGGCACUAGGUGGGAGAACAAGGUUGAAAAUCUGCGGGAGCUUGUGGGCAGUGGUAAGGUGAGCAUCACCAUGAUGCCGAAGGCUCCUCGUGAUUGGCUCAAUCUGCAUUGCAACAAAUAUCAUUUUGAGAGGUGCAUUUGCUGUGUAUUUGGAGCCAUGGCAUGUUGAUAUCUUUCGAGUUCCUAGAUCUCAGAAAGAACCAUGGAAAGCCCCUGAUACUUUAAAGGGAAACUGAAGAGUUGUGGCAUGUAAACAAGCAGGUGGAGCAGCUAUAAGAGCGAAUGAUGAAGCGGAUAGCUAAGCAUUUGAAGCAGCUAGAUGAUCAGAUGAUGGUGCGGAUGAAUGAUUGUAUGAUUGUGUUUUUGUGAUUGUUUUAUCUUUGAUGAAUUAAAAUGAAUGAUUGGAUUGAAUGAAUGAUUAUACAGGUUGAACAGGUAAACAUUCACAAGUUUAUUCAAACAAAUAUUUAAAAUAAAUAAAUACUUUUCACUGUGGUUUGU